rnacentral:rRNA from 1 species
CCCUUAGAUGUUCUGGGCCGCACGCGCGCUACACUGAUGCAUUCAACGAGUCUAAAACCUGCUCUGAUAGGGGUGGGUAAUCUUUUGAAUGUGCAUCGUGAUUGGGAUAGAUGAUUGCAAUUUUUCAUCUUCAACGAGGAAUGCCUAGUAAACGCAAGUCAUCAGCUUGCAUUGAUUACGUCCCUGCCCUUUGUACACACCGCCCGUCGCUACUACCGAUUGAAUGGUUUAGUGAGGCCUUCGGAUCCGCGACUCGUUUUGUGGAGAAGUUGAACAAACUCAGUCAUUUAGAGGAAGUAAAAGUCGUAACA